rnacentral:rRNA from 1 species
UACGGAGGAUGCGAGCGUUAUCCGGAUUUAUUGGGUUUAAAGGGUGCGUAGGCGGACUGUCAAGUCAGCGUUAAAAUUGAGAGGCUCAACCUCUUCCCGCCGUUGAAACUGGUGGUCUUGAGUGGAUGAGAAGUACGCGGAAUGCGUGGUGUAGCGGUGAAAUGCAUAGAUAUCACGCAGAACUCCGAUUGCGAAGGCAGCGUACCGGCAUCCAACUGACGCUGAGGCACGAAAGCGUGGGGAUCAAACAGG